CGCAAUUGGAGAUACCUAUAAAAGUCUUGGGGCCCUAUCAUACACCCAGCGCAAUGCGACACAAGGCGCAGUGCAAGUGUGUUUGCUAGUUUCAGUCCGGCGCCAUUCGCAUUUUCCCGUCCAGCGCCACGUCGUUUAAUAAGCAAAUGCAUUUGCGCCCAUUUGUGCGCCCAUGGGCGGUGCUGGUCUAAAAAAGAAGUGUGUUCAGGCGCAUUGCUGGCGCAUUGCUAUUUUAAGGAGCUGAAAAUAGACUGCGCCAAAGACCAACUCAAGCCUGGUCUAAAGUCUGGCGCAAUGUUUUUUCUUUUUUAUUUAAAGAGCAUGUUAGUAUAGGCGGGUCCACAACGCGCGUACACGCUGCUUAUUAAACACAGGGACGCACAGCAGCACACAAACAUGCCAAAUAUUAAAAAUUAAAGGAUUGCAAUGCAUAAGAAAUUUUUUGUAGGCUAAUUAAAUAUAAAAAUGCCUACAUGUCAUAAUGGAUAGUCAUCACAUGUAUCACAAUUAUCUAUUUGCUCGCACACGAGCAGCUCCGUUUCAUCUCGGAGACACGUUCUGUCUUUGCGCUUGCCAAAUUCUGCCGUGUAAAUAGCAAAUCCAUCAUGGCACGAGCGCCACCGGCUCUUAAAGGGAAUGGAAGAUGAGACUCUGAUUGGUUUAUUGCACGUUACGCCCAAAAAACACCCAUUACUCAUUAAGAGAAUAGUUUUGACCAUGCGCCCAGGCGCGCCAACCGUUUUUCCAUCGUUAAAAUAGCAAAAGUGGAUUUGAACACGCCCUGAGUGCACCUGCGCCGUGCGCUUUACACUUUGCGUUUAGAUCGUUAAAAUAGGGCCCUUGGUUCUCUAGCCCAUGAUUUCCUUUAAGCAUGUGAAAACUGCAGUUUCCCUUUAUUCAUAAAUGUCCAAUAGGCAGUUAAACCAUCUUUUAAACCUAUUAUCUGUUUUUUCGGGAACAAACUCUGUGUCGUAGGCACACCAGCGCAACAAUAUCAUAGAAUCUUUCAAAUUGCAUAAUUUUACUACUUUCUUCCAAAUGUUUAAGGAUACAUUUAACCAAGGAUUAUCUGUGGUUAAUAAUCUAUUUAUCAACUGAAAUAAAUAUAAUAGUCUUGGUAGAAUGUUCAUCUUGACUGAUUCGACCCUGGAGCUCAUGCUUAGAAAGGGGAUAAGAUUCCAUCUUGAUAUAUCACCUUUAAUUUUUGCAAUUAGAGGAGCAACACUGACUUGGAAUAAUUGUGAUAUAUCUUUUGAUAAGAUUACUCCCAGAUAUUUCAUUGAAAGUGAUUCCCAGUUGCGACAAAAACUCCUAAUGAAUCCAGGUGGCUUAUAAUUAAAUGUGAGAACCUGGGUUUUCUGUAUAUUCACCUUAUAACCUGAAAAUGAUGCAUAUGUCUCAAGAAGUGACAUCAAUUCUGGAAAAGACUGAGUUGGUUGCUUUAGGUAAACUAAAAUAUCAUCUGCAAAGGCAGCUACUUUGUGUACACAUUUCUCUAUAUCUAUACCUAUAAUUUUGUCAUUUUGCCUAAUCCACUGGUUAAGGGGCUCUAUAAAUAGGGCAAAUUGAAUAGGGCUAAUUGGGCAGCCCUGACGUGUUCCUCGUUCUAGAGUAAACUAAUUAGAAAGAUUACCAUUCACCUUAAUUCUCGCUAAUGGUUUAUCAUAUAAUGUUUGUAUAACUUUAAUAAUAGAUUUGUGAAACCCAAAUCAAUUCAUAACCAUAAAAAGAUACUUCCACCUAAUGGAGUCGAAUGCCUUUUCAGCAUCCAAUCCUACUAAUAAAGCUUCGACAUUGUUUUUGGUUAAUAAUAUGUACAGAACGCCUAAUAUUAUCUUGAGUUUGUCUUUG
ensembl:lncRNA